rnacentral:rRNA from 1 species
UAGAGUUUGAUCCUGGCUCAGAUUGAACGCUGGCGGCAUGCCUUACACAUGCAAGUCGGACGGCAGCGCGGGCUUCGGCCUGGCGGCGAGUGGCGAACGGGUGAGUAAUACAUCGGAACGUGUCCUGGAGUGGGGGAUAGCCCGGCGAAAGCCGGAUUAAUACCGCAUACGCUCUGCGGAGGAAAGCGGGGGACCUUCGGGCCUCGCGCUCAAGGGGCGGCCGAUGGCAGAUUAGCUAGUUGGUGGGGUAAAGGCCUACCAAGGCGACGAUCUGUAGCUGGUCUGAGAGGACGACCAGCCACACUGGGACUGAGACACGGCCCAGACUCCUACGGGAGGCAGCAGUGGGGAAUUUUGGACAAUGGGGGCAACCCUGAUCCAGCAAUGCCGCGUGUGUGAAGAAGGCCUUCGGGUUGUAAAGCACUUUUGUCCGGAAAGAAAGCGUCCUGGCUAAUACCUGGGGCGGAUGACGGUACCGGAAGAAUAAGCACCGGCUAACUACGUGCCAGCAGCCGCGGUAAUACGUAGGGUGCGAGCGUUAAUCGGAAUUACUGGGCGUAAAGCGUGCGCAGGCGGUUCGCUAAGACCGAUGUGAAAUCCCCGGGCUUAACCUGGGAACUGCAUUGGUGACUGGCGGGCUAGAGUAUGGCAGAGGGAGGUAGAAUUCCACGUGUAGCAGUGAAAUGCGUAGAGAUGUGGAGGAAUACCGAUGGCGAAG